rnacentral:rRNA from 1 species
AAGAAUUUAAAAGUCGAACAGACUUAAAAUUUAAGCGGCUACACCUAAAAUUAUAUCUUAAUCCAACAUCGAGGUCGCAAUCUUUUUUAUCGAUAUGAACUCUCCAAAAAAAUUACGCUGUUAUCCCUAAAGUAACUUGUUUUUUUAAUCGCUAAUAACGGAUCAAUUAUUCAUAAAUUAAUGAUUUAAACAAUUAAAAGUUUAUUAAAUUUUAAUAUCACCCCAAUAAAAUAUAAUCUAUUAUCAUAACAAAAAAAAUCUACAAAAUUAUAAUAAUAUAAAUAUAAAGAUUUAUAGGGUCUUCUCGUCUUUUAAAUAAAUUUUAGCUUUUUGACUAAAAAAUAAAAUUCUAUUAUAAAUUUUUAUGAAACAGUUAAUAUCUCGUCCAACCAUUCAUACCAGCCUUCAAUUAAAAGACUAAUGAUUAUGCUACCUUUGCACAGUUAGUAUACUGCGGCCAUUUAAAAAAAAAUUCAGUGGGCAGGUCAGACUUUAAAAAAAAUUCAAAAAGAC